CUAAUAUGUAGAAAGAUAAAGCUAAAUCAGCCUUAUGUGGGAGUUUUCUUGAAGAAAUCGAAGAAAAUGAAGCUAAUGUUCAAUGCUUAAAUGUAGUUUAAACGAUUUAUCCGAAACUUUUGCUCAAGUGCAUGAGGUACAAGAUUUAGGAAAUCGAUCAAGAUUAGUGGUUAUGGCAUACAGAAGAAUCAAGAUUGUUAAUCAAAUUUUUGAGGAUGCCAAUUCAAAAGUAAAUAGAACACGUCGACAAUGACCAAACAAGGUUAAUCAGAAAGCAUUACGUAGAAUAGCAAGAAUAGAAUUAUAGAACGAACUGAGAGAAUAGAAAAGAUCAACAUGAAACAAACUCUGCGGAAAUAAACCGCAGAUACAUGCACUUGAGAAGAAUACGGAAAAAUCAUUAGCUAUUUCAUCAAUUCCUCAGUCUGAUACGCGACGUUCUAGAAAUCCAGUACGCCAAUCGAAUUCUAAUCCAGAA